AGUGGAUGGGGAGCAACCUAGUUGUGCGUGUGUAAAGGUAGUGCCAAGAAAAGCGAUGAUCAUGUUGAAAUCAAUUCCCGGUACCCGAAACCGACACAGGUGGGCAAGUAGAGAAUACUAAGGGGCGCGAGGUAACUCUCUCCAAGGAACUCGGCAAAAUGACCCCGUAACUUAGGGAGAAGGGGUGCCACCGAGAGGUGGUCGCAGUGAAGAGGCCCAGGCGACUGUUUAGCAAAAACAUAGGUCUCUGCAAACUCGAAAGAGGAGGUAUAGGGGCUGACGCCUGCCCAGUGCCGGAAGGUUAAAGAAGUUGGUCAGUUUUAGGAUGAAGCUAGCGACUGAAGCCCCGGUGAACGGCGGCCGUAACUAUAACGGUCCUAAGGUAGCGAAAUUCCUUGUCGGGUAAGUUCCGACCCGCACGAAAGGCGUAACGAUCUGGGCGCUGUCUCGGAGAGAGGCUCGGCGAAAUAGGAUUGUCUGUGAUAUACGGACUACCUGCACUUGGACAGAAAGACCCUAUGAAGCUUUACUAUAGCUUGGAAUUGUGUUCGGGCUUCCUGUGCGCAGGAUAGGUGGGAGGCGUAGAAGGUAUUCUUGUGGGGAUACUGGAGCCAACGGUGAGAUACCACUCUCAGGAGGCUAGAAUUCUAACUUAAUUAAGGACAGUUUCAGGUGGGUAGUUUGACUGGGGCGGUCGCCUCCAAAAAGGUAACGGAGGCGUACAAAGGUUCCCUCAGACUGGUUGGAAAUCAGUCGAAGAGUGCAAAGGCAGAAGGGAGCUUGACUGCGAGAAGUACAGUUCGAGCAGGGUGGAAACACGGUCUUAGUGAUCCGACGGUGCUGUGUGGAAGGGCCGUCGCUCAACGGAUAAAAGUUACUCUAAGGAUAACAGGCUGAUCUCCCCCAAGAGUUCACAUCGACGGGGAGGUUUGGCACCUCGAUGUCGGCUCAUCGCAACCUGGGGCGGAAGUACGUCCCAAGGGUUGGGCUGUUCGCCCAUUAAAGCGGUACGUGAGCUGGGUUCAGAACGUCGUGAGACAGUUCGGUCCAUAUCCGAUGUAGGCGUGAGAAUAUUGAGAGGAGCCUUCCUUAGUACGAGAGGACCGGGAAGGACGCACCGCUGGUGUACCUGUUAUGAUGCCAAUUGUAAACGCAGGGUAGCCAAGUGCGGAGAGGAUAACCGCUGAAAGCAUCUAAGUGGGAAGCCCACCUCAAGAUGAGUAUUCUGGUGUAAGGUCACGGGAAGACGACCCGUAAAUAGGCACGAGGUGGAAGUGCAGAGAUGUAUGAAGCCGAAGUGUACUAAUAGACCGCCGGC
rnacentral:rRNA from 1 species